rnacentral:misc_RNA from 1 species
GAUGAAGAACGUAGCGAAAUGCGAUAAGUAAUGUGAAUUGCAGAAUUCAGUGAAUCAUCGAAUCUUUGAACGCACAUUGCGCCCCCUGGUAUUCCGGGGGGCAUGCCUGUUCGAGCGUCAUUUCACCACUCAAGCCUCGCUUGGUAUUGGGCGACGCGGUCCGCCGCGCGCCUCAAAUCGACCGGCUGGGUCUUCCGUCCCCUCAGCGUUGUGGAAACUAUUCGCUAAAGGGUGCCGCGGGAGGUCACGCCGCAAAACAACCCCAUUUCUAAGGUUGACCUCGGAUCAGGUAGGGAUACCCGCUGAACUUAAGCAUAUCAAUAAGCGGAGGA